rnacentral:rRNA from 1 species
UACGGAGGGAGCUAGCGUUGUUCGGAAUUACUGGGCGUAAAGCGCACGUAGGCGGCUUUGUAAGUUAGAGGUGAAAGCCCGGGGCUCAACUCCGGAACUGCCUUUAAGACUGCAUCGCUUGAAUCCAGGAGAGGUAAGUGGAACUCCUAGUGUAGAGGUGGAAUUCGUAGAUAUUAGGAAGAACACCAGUGGCGAAGGCGGCUCACUGGCUCGACACUGACGCUGAGGUGCGAAAGCGUGGGGAGCAAACAGG